CAGCGUGGAGCGGUGGGAGAGGCCCCGCCUUGGGGUGACCACCCCGAAGUGACCACAAUGACCCAACCUCUGCCACCGGAGCCGGGGAGCCCCGCUGGGCCUGGAUUCAAUCCAGUUCUGCCCCCCGGGGGUC